AUUACACCAAACCCACUUACUAAGUUAGUAACAAAGGAAUACAUAAUGUGGAAAUAUAAUAUAACAUAUGACAAAAUAAGAAAACAAGUAGGUAUAUUAUAGGUAUAGUAGUAUGAUAUAUAAGUUAUAAGUAUAAAAUAUUAUUGUAAAAAAAAAAAAACUUUAUGAGAAAUAAAUGUGCACUAUUGAUGGGUUUAUGCUUAAUCGACAAUAACUAUAUAUAGUAUUUCACAGAAUGAAUCUAACAACAAAUAACGACAAAUAAAUUAAUACAUUAUUACGAGUUUAUUACCGAUUUGAUAUUACUUUAUAAUGAGUUAUUAUCAGAUAAAAUUAAAAAGUAGAUACAAUAUCAUGAUUUCUGACAAUGAUAAAUAUAGGUAAAAUUAAUUUUCAUAUGAUCAGAUAUGAAUAUUGUUUUUUUUUUUUUUUUUUUUAGAAAAAAAUCUACAAUAGUUUUAAUAUUUUAUUACUUUUUAACUAUAUAGAUCAUACAAAAAAUAUAAUAUGUAUAGCAAAAAAUGUAAAUACUUCAAGUAAAACAGAAAAAAAACAUUUAAAAAUGUUGCUAAAACAACUACAUUUAAUUAAAUAGGUAUUAAUAUGAUAUUAUUUUAAAAAUAUGAUGGACAAUGUGUCAAAACAAGGUACACAAAAAUUGCUGUGAUAAGUACAAAUAAUAUUGACAAAAGAAAAAUGAUAUUGGAAUAUAUAAGUGCCCAAUUGGUUAAUGGUGAUUAGAACACUAACAUUAAGUUCUUUCAAAUAUCAAAUUUCAUUGUUCAAUUGAUUUUAUUGUUAAGCUAAGUGUGCAAUAAAAAAAAAAAUAGUUGUCAUGGCCCUAUUUUUAAAUACAUAAUAAUUAAAACGAAUUGACAUACUAAGUAUAUAAUA